rnacentral:rRNA from 1 species
GACGAACGCUGGCGGCGUGCUUAACACAUGCAAGUCGAACGGUGAAACGCCUUCCUUUUUGGUGUGUGUGGAGGAGUGGCGAACUGGGGAGUAACACGUUAGUAACCUGCCCCCUUCUGCUGGAUAACCGCAUGAAAGUGUUGCUAAUACGGGAUAUUCUGAGUCUGUCGCAUGAUUGGUCUGGGAAGGAUUUUGUGUCGGUUGGGGAUGGGGUCGCGGCUUAUCAGCUUGUUGGUGAGGUGAUGGCCUACCAAGGCGGUGAGGGGUAGCCGGCCUGAGAGGGUCGACCGCACUGGUGGGAAUGCGCGACCGAGACGACUACUACGGGCGGCAGUAGGGGGUCAUACUGAAUAAUGGGAGGCCGGAUGAUGCAGCGACGCGGCGGGAGGGAUGGAGUCCGUAGGGUUGUGAACUUCUUUCGCGAGAGAAGAAGUCCUGAAUCGUCUGUGGGUGGGUUGACGGUAGCUGGAUAAGAAGCGACGGCUAACUACGUG